rnacentral:rRNA from 1 species
UACGAAGGGGGCUAGCGUUGCUCGGAAUCACUGGGCGUAAAGGGUGCGUAGGCGGGUCUUUAAGUCAGGGGUGAAAUCCUGGAGCUCAACUCCAGAACUGCCUUUGAUACUGAAGAUCUUGAGUUCGGGAGAGGUGAGUGGAACUGCGAGUGUAGAGGUGAAAUUCGUAGAUAUUCGCAAGAACACCAGUGGCGAAGGUGGCUCACUGGCCCGAUACUGACGCUGAGGCACGAAAGCGUGGGGAGCAAACAGG